rnacentral:tRNA from 1 species
ACCUGGGUGGCUCAGUUGGUUGAGCAUCUGAAUUGGGCUCAGGUCAUGAUCUCACGGUUUGUGAGUUCAAGCCCCACAUCAGGCU